rnacentral:rRNA from 1 species
UACGUAGGGGGCAAGCGUUGUCCGGAUUUAUUGGGCGUAAAGAGCGUGUAGGCGGCCAGACAAGUCUGCUGUGAAAACUCGAGGCUCAACCUCGAGCUGUCGGUGGAAACUGUCUGACUAGAGUCCGGAAGAGGAGAGCGGAAUUCCUGGUGUAGCGGUGAAAUGCGCAGAUAUCAGGAAGAACACCUAUGGCGAAGGCAGCUCUCUGGGACGGUACUGACGCUGAGACGCGAAAGCGUGGGGAGCGAACAGG